rnacentral:rRNA from 1 species
UAAGAGGUACCAUCUAUUAUUUUUUUAAAUAUAGAUGGUGGCACAGAAUCGGAGGCCCCGACUGUUUACUAAAAACACAACACAGUGCAAUCAUUAAUGUGAUAGUAUACUGUGUGAAAUUUGCCCAAUGCCAUUAAUAUAAGAGCGGUCAUAUAUAAAUGUGACUAAUUGAAAAUCUGGUUAAUAGCGGUCUUAACCAUGAGGAUCCUAAGGUAGCAAAAUAAAUUGGCCAUUAAAUGUGGUCCGGUAUCAAUAAUGUAACGAUGGCCUCACUGUCUCUACAACUUGCUCAGUGAAAUUGAAUU